AUGGCAUCUGGCAAGGGGUAGGCAAAGAAGGAAGAAUAAGUCAUCAAUGUUGGACCUCAAAUGUACACUCUGAAGGAGAGAGUGUAUUUGGUGUCUGCCACAUCUCUGCAUCCCUCAUUGACAUAUCUUUGUCCAUGGUACCCAUCUUUCUGGCAAGGAAACCAUCUGCUGAGUGAUUGGUAGAAUGAAGGUAAAGGCUGAUGCAGAUGAGUCUUCUCUGUUUGCAGCCAUGUUGGCUGUCCAGGAUGUGGCCCAGAGGUGCAAGGAGCUGGGCAUCACUGCUCUGCACAUCAGACUCCAGGUCACAGGAGGAAACAGGACCAAGACCCCUGGACUUAGAGCCUAGUCAUCCCUCAGAGCUCUUGCUCACUCAGGGAUGAAGAGGCAGAUUGAGGAUGUCAACUCCAUCUCCUCUGACAGCACUCGAAGG
rnacentral:lncRNA from 1 species